GACGAACGCUGGCGGCGUGCUUAACACAUGCAAGUCGAACGGAAAGGCCCUGCUUUUGUGGGGUGCUCGAGUGGCGAACGGGUGAGUAACACGUGAGUAACCUGACCUUGACUUUGGGAUAACUUCAGGAGACUGGGGCUAAUACCGGAUAGGAGCUCCUGCUGCAUGGUGGGGGUUGGAACGUUUCGGCGGUUGGGGAUGGACUCGCGGCUUAUCAGCUUGUUGGUGGGGUAGUUGCUUACCAAGGCUUUGACGGGUAGCCGGCAUGAGAGGGUGACCGGCCACAAUGGGACUGAGAGACGGCCCAGACUCCUACGGGAGGCAGCAGUGGCGAAUAUUGCACAGUGGGCGGAAGCCUGAUGCAGCAACGCCGCGUGCGUGAUGACGGCCUGCGGGUUGUAAACCGCUUUCGCCUGUGACGAAGCGUGAGUGACGGUAAAGGGUAAAGAAGCACCGGCUAACUACGUG
rnacentral:rRNA from 1 species